GCUCGUAGGUGGUUUGUCGCGUUGUUCGUGAAAUCCCGCAGCUUAACUGCGGGCGUGCGGGCGAUACGGGCAGACUGGAGUACUGCAGGGGAGACUGGAAUUCCUGGUGUAGCGGUGGAAUGCGCAGAUAUCAGGAGGAACACCUGUGGCGAAAGCGGCUCACUGGACCAUUACUGACGCUGAUGCACGAAAGCUAGGGGAGCAAACAGGAUUAGAUACUCUGGUAGUCCUAGCCCUAAACGAUGAUUGCUUGAUGUGGCAGGUACCCAAUCCUGCCGUGUCGAAGCUAACGCGAUAAGCAAUCCGCCUGGGGAGUACGGUAGCAAGGCUGAAACUCAAAGGAAUUGACGGGGGCCCGCACAAGCGGUGGAGCAUGUGGUUUAAUUCGACGCAACGCGAAGAACCUUACCUGGGCUCGAAAUGUACCGGAAUCCGGCAGAAACGUCGGCGUCUAGCAAUAGACCGGUAUAUAGGUGCUGCAUGGCUGUCGUCAGCUCGUGUCGUGAGAUGUUGGGUUAAGUCCCGCAACGAGCGCAACCCUUAUCUUCAGUU
rnacentral:rRNA from 1 species